rnacentral:misc_RNA from 1 species
UACCCUUGACAUGUCUAGUAUGGGCACCAGAGAUGGAGUCCUUCAGUUCGGCUGGCUAGAACACAGGUGCUGCAUGGCUGUCGUCAGCUCGUGUCGUGAGAUGUUGGGUUAAGUCCCGCAACGAGCGCAACCCUCGCCUUUAGUUGCCAUCAUUUAGUUGGGCACUCUAGAGGGACUGCCGGUGAUAAGCCGGAGGAAGGUGGGGAUGACGUGUAACCGAAUCU